UGAUGAUGCUGAGUGGUCCUGGUA
rnacentral:misc_RNA from 1 species